UACGGAGGAUGCAAGCGUUAUCCGGAUUUAUUGGGUUUAAAGGGUGCGUAGGCGGGAAAAUAAGUCAGUGGUGAAAUCCUACAGCUUAACUGUAGAAUUGCCGUUGAUACUGUUUUUCUUGAGUAUGGUCAAGGAAGGCGGAAUGUGUAAUGUAGCGGUGAAAUGCUUAGAUAUUACACAGAACACCAAUUGCGAAGGCAGCUUUCUGGCCCAUUACUGACGCUGAGGCACGAAAGCGUGGGGAUCGAACAGGAUUAGAUACCCCCGUAGUCCCU
rnacentral:rRNA from 1 species